ACGGAGGGUGCAAGCGUUAUCCGGAUUUAUUGGGUUUAAAGGGUGCGUAGGCGGUCAAUUAAGUCAGCGGUGAAAGUUUUCAGCUUAACUGGAAAAAUGCCGUUGAUACUGAUAGGCUAGAAUAUGGUUGCUGUGGGUGGAAUGUGUGGUGUAGCGGUGAAAUGCUUAGAUAUCACACAGAAUAUCAAUUGCGAAGGCAGCUCACAAAGCCAUUAUUGACGCUGAGGCACGAAAGUGUGGGGAUCAAACAG
rnacentral:rRNA from 1 species